rnacentral:rRNA from 1 species
GACGAAGGAUGCAAGCGUUAUCCGGAUUCAUUGGGUUUAAAGGGUGCGUAGGCGGACUUGUAAGUCAGUGGUGAAAUCUCUUUGCUUAACAAAGAAACUGCCAUUGAUACUGCAGGUCUAGAGUAUAGAUGACGUUGGCGGAAUAUGACAUGUAGUGGUGAAAUACUUAGAUAUGACAUAGAACACCCAUUGCGAAGGCAGCUCACUACGGGAUGAUUGACACUGAGGCACGAAAGCGUGGGGAUCAAACAGG